rnacentral:rRNA from 3 species
GGUUAAGCGACUAAGCGUACACGGUGGAUGCCCUGGCAGUCAGAGGCGAUGAAGGGCGUGCUAAUCUGCGAUAAGCGCCGGUAAGGUGAUAUGAACCGUUAUAACCGGCGAUACCCGAAUGGGGAAACCCAGUGUGAUUCGUCACACUAUCAUUAACUGAAUCCAUAGGUUAAUGAGGCGAACCGGGGGAACUGAAACAUCUAAGUACCCCGAGGAAAAGAAAUCAACCGAGAUUCCCCCAGUAGCGGCGAGCGAACGGGGAGGAGCCCAGAGCCUGAAUCAGCAUGUGUGUUAGUGGAAGCGUCUGGAAAGGCGCGCGAUACAGGGUGACAGCCCCGUACACAAAAGCGCAUGUGCUGUGAGCUCGAUGAGUAGGGCGGGACACGUGGUAUCCUGUCUGAAUAUGGGGGGACCAUCCUCCAAGGCUAAAUACUCCUGACUGACCGAUAGUGAACCAGUACCGUGAGGGAAAGGCGAAAAGAACCCCGGCGAGGGGAGUGAAAAAGAACCUGAAACCGUGUACGUACAAGCAGUGGGAGCACAGGUUUACCUGUGUGACUGCGUACCUUUUGUAUAAUGGGUCAGCGACUUAUAUUCUGUAGCAAGGUUAACCGAAUAGGGGAGCCGGAGGGAAACCGAGUCUUAAUUGGGCGUUAAGUUGCAGGGUAUAGACCCGAAACC